CCACACACGGUGGGGUGUCCCUCCAGGACUUUGCUUCAGACCUUCUUUUGUCUUUUUUAGACAGUUAUUGUUUUACUCUGAUGCUUUUGCAAAAGUGCUUCAUCUUCAAGAAGAUUCACAGUUAAGGACAUUUUGACAGUAACAGGUCUCUGAUAAACUUCAGAAUAUACUGCUGAACUGGAUGUCUCACAUUUCGUCCCUGGCCUGAGCGAAGGAAAUGUAUCCGAGGACAGAGCAGCAGCACGGGCCUCACUGCGAAAUGAGUCUAGUUGCUGAGUGUCCAGCGAGAUGCCGUUGUCACCCUCCUCCAGGCUUCCAUGAAAAAUCGACCUGGCUAUUGUGACUACGUGGGAACUACUGACCAUGGGGGAGAAAGACUCUCACCAUCUUCCGGUCCCACGUGCCAAGCCAGUACAUCAGAAGGACCCCCAUCGGUAAACGUUACGGUACACCUGACUGCCUAUAAGCCCCCCUGGGCUAUGCUGUGUGGAGUGGAAUAGGCUGGCUUCUGGACACACAAGUCCAGCUAGUGGGAUUAACUGCUUUUUGUUUAGAAAGACCAAAUAGGUCCACCCCUAACUGCACCCAACAUAACAUAGGGUGGCAGACCUGUCCUGUGACUGCUGACUCCUGGCUAGGACACCAGAAUGUUCCCCUUAAAGCCCGGCCUUCCCCUCCCCACGGGGUGGCUCUGGGUUUGUGAAAACUAGACAUGGCCUUACCUUCCUUAUAACUGGACAGGGCACUGCUGCCAUUGACUCCCUCUCCAUUGACCUUGUAAGCACUUGGCUCCAAACUUUGCCCACAUCGUGGCAAAUGACUGCUCUGAGCAUACAGUUCUAGGUGUCUCACUCAUGAUACUGUGGCCGUACUGUACUGUGGUGUCUGGCUGCAGUGCCCCCUACAUACCCGACCCCAGGGAUAGCAAGGAAGACGAGCGGACCAAGACUGUAAGGGUCGUGCAGGGCACGCAGGGGUGGAGGGUAUGGUCAGGCCCCUCAGAUGGCUGUUCUUUUGUUCUCUGUCCACCCCCUGCCCGGUCAGGGCCUGCUUCACCUACACUCUACUCACAUGACUGCCCUUCCUCCGUCUUGCCCAGGCCCUAGCUAGUGACAGCUUAUCAAAGGGGCGGUGAGGGCCGUGCCCCUCGACUGGUUUCCCUGGUAACUAAUGAGCCCACCUGAUGUCAAUUCCCCUGUAACUGGUAACCUCCCCUUCCCCCGGGAGCAAAAACUGCCCCAUGUCCUGCCCACUAUGCCCCGUACACGGUGGGGUGUCCCUCCAGGACUUUGCU